rnacentral:lncRNA from 1 species
UUAGUCAUCGGAAUCACAACAUGUCUACUAUUUACCGUUAUUCGGGUUUAUGGGGAGCCCUAUCGUCGGAAGGUAAAUGUCUCAAAAUUUUUAUAUGGGCAGUUGCGUCUCAUCUACGUGAGAGUUUUUUGUGUGAAAGGUUUGACCAAACUACGUAAUAUAGAGGGAGAUAUGAGCGUUUUCGUGUGAUAAGUAACGAUGGAUUAGGGUUGACCGUUUCGAUCGAGCCCUUAACGUUGUCGGAUCCAGUUGAACUUUUUACCACAAACAUCUUUCGUCAUAAUGAUCAUAUCUGACGGUCAAAUUUUGGUUUGUGAAUUUUAGUCAUCAAAAUCACAACGUGUCUACUAAUGUUGUAUAACUUGUUUAAUAGGUUAUACAACUUUGUAAACCAACUCUACAUAGGAAGCAAAAUUAUCAAAAAUCUCGUGAAAUAAGAUGUGUUCAGAAUGGUGAAAUACGGCUAUGGUUCAAAAAUCAUGUAAAUCGGGUAAAGUCUC